rnacentral:rRNA from 1 species
GACGAACGCUGGCGGCGUGCCUAACACAUGCAAGUCGAACGGGGUAAGGACUUCGGUUUUUACUUAGUGGCGAACGGGUGAGUAACGCGUGAGAAACCUGCCUUUCAGUGGGGGACAACAGUUGGAAACGACUGCUAAUACCGCAUAAUGUUAUUUGGGGGCAUCCCUGAAUAACCAAAGCUUAAUGUGCUGAAAGAUGGUCUCGCGUCUGAUUAGCUAGAUGGCGGGGUAACGGCCCACCAUGGCGACGAUCAGUAGCCGGUCUGAGAGGAUGAACGGCCACAUUGGGACUGAGAUACGGCCCAGACUCCUACGGGAGGCAGCAGUGGGGAAUAUUGGGCAAUGGGGGAAACCCUGACCCAGCAACGCCGCGUGAAGGAAGAAGGCCUUCGGGUUGUAAACUUCUUUUACCAGGGACGAAGAACGUGACGGUACCUGGAGAAAAAGCAACGGCUAACUACGUGCCAGCAGCCGCCGUAAUAC